rnacentral:lncRNA from 1 species
GCCUCACUUAUCCUGUGUCGAAUAUUAGAUUGAUAAAUUCUAAUGGAUAAGGUGGGGGAGGUGAAUCAAGCAGGGUAUUCACCUCCUGAACUUAAAUUUUUUUAAUGGGCUCAUCCAGAAAAUCAUCUUUUAUUAAUUCUAAGGAGGAAUCGAAUUCAACUAUUUCAUCUAUUAAUUCAACUACCGAACAGUUUUUCACUUUUUGAGUAUACUUUGAGGCAUUAAAAUUAUUAAUUUUCACCUUUUGAUUUUGAAAUGAAAUGUCCA